UACGUAGGGGGCAAGCGUUGUCCGGAUUUAUUGGGCGUAAAGAGCGUGUAGGCGGCCGUACAGGUCAGCUGUGAAAACUCGAGGCUCAACCUCGAGACGUCGGUUGAAACCGUACGGCUAGAGUCCGGAAGAGGAGAGUGGAAUUCCCGGUUUGGCUGUGAAAUGCGCAGAUAUCGGGAAGAACACCCGUGGCGAAGGCGGCUCUCUGGGACGGUACUGACGCUGAGACGCGAAAGCGUGGGGAGCAAACAGG
rnacentral:rRNA from 1 species